rnacentral:misc_RNA from 1 species
AACGCACGAGACCUGCGGACCUGCGGAAGGAUCAUUAACACUAAUUCAGGCCCGAAGCUCGCUUUGGGACUGGAUGGAUCCAUAUCCAUUUAUACCCCUGUGAAUUGUUAAAGUCUUUAUGAAGUGAACAACAAUAUGCCUAUUUUUGAGCAGUCUGAUAUGAAAGACCCCCGGCUUUGUGCAGGUGGUCGAGAUAACCUAAUACAACUUUUAACAAUGGAUCUCUAGAUCGGAAGAGCA